GUGUCAGCAGCCGCGGUAAUACGUAGGGGGCGAGCGUUGUCCGGAAUCAUUGGGCGUAAAGCGCGUGUAGGCGGCUUGUCAAGUCCGGUGUGAAAUCUCGGGGCUCAACCCCGAAACUGCACUGGAAACUGGCUAGCUAGAGUCCGGAAGAGGAGAAUGGAAUUCCUGGUGUAGCGGUGAAAUGCGCAGAUAUCAGGAAGAACACCGGUGGCGAAGGCGGUUCUCUGGGACGGUACUGACGCUGAGACGCGAAAGCGUGGGGAGCGAACAGGAUUAGAUACCCUGGUAGUCCACGCCGUAAACGAUGGGCACUAGGUGUGGGGGGUGUCGACUCCCUCCGUGCCGCAGCUAACGCAUUAAGUGCCCCGCCUGGGGAGUACGGCCGCAAGGCUAAA
rnacentral:rRNA from 1 species